rnacentral:rRNA from 1 species
UACGUAGGGUCCGAGCGUUGUCCGGAAUUAUUGGGCGUAAAGGGCUCGUAGGCGGUCUGUUGCGUCGGGAGUGAAAACUUACAGCUUAACUGUGAGCGUGCUUUCGAUACGGGCAGACUUGAGGCAUUCAGGGGAGAACGGAAUUCCUGGUGUGAGCGGUGAAAUGCGCAGAUAUCAGGAGGAACACCGGUGGCGAAGGCGGUUCUCUGGGAAUGUCCUGACGCUGAGGAGCGAA